AGCCUCUUUAAAUGUAGACGCAGCCUUAUGAAGCAAUGCCGCGUGAACGAUGAAGGUCUUAUAGAUUGUAAAGUUCUUUUAUAUGGGAAGAAACGCUAAAAUAGGAAAUGAUUUUAGUUUGACUGUACCAUUUGAAUAAGUAUCGGCUAACUAUGUGCCAGCAGCCGCGGUAAUACA
rnacentral:rRNA from 1 species